rnacentral:rRNA from 1 species
UACGUAGGCAGCAAGCGUUGUUCGGAGUUACUGGGCGUAAAGAGUAUGUAGGCGGUCUGUCGCGUCUGCUGUGAAAAUCCGGGGCUCAACCCCGGACUUGCAGUGGGUACGGGCAGACUAGAGUGUGGUAGGGGAGACUGGAAUUCCGUGGUGAUAGACGGUGAAAUGCGCGAGAUAUCAGGAGGAACACCGGAUGGCGAAGGCGGGAUCCUGGGCCAGUA